UAUCACCAUUCUCCUUCUUAUUUGUAUGCAGAUUUGGUUAUAAUGAUUGAUAACUGUAAUCAUCCUCAUUAUUUUAAUAAGAAAUUUUUCUAUCUGUGAUGGAAGUUUUUAUGUACGAUUGCCUGAUCUGAAGACAAGACUUUCGCUGCAUGCAUAUUUAAUGUAUGACGUCACCCACACAGAGUGAGAGCUCGAAGUUUUCUUUGAAAGUUUGAUGGAAAAUGUACAGAGACACUUGUCGCAGUUAAUGCAUGCAGUACCAAAUGCUUGCUUUCUUGGAGUAUGUGCUUGAAACAAGAAUGUCCUGGAGAAAACAGACCACCACAAGAGAAGACAUACAUGUACAGUAUGGACUAUGAAGUUCUACUUAGCCUCUUCAAUGAGCUGCUGGAGCUGCGACUGGGUAUCAAAACCUUGGUAUUAUAAACUUCAUAACCAGUGGCGGAGAUAUGUUGUUAGCCAGGGGGGAGGGGUCAGUGCCCCCCCCCCCCCCCCACUUUUUCAAGUACCCCCAGUAUGCCCCUUUUAUGGCCUUUUCACAUAGGUAAAGUGCCAUAUUACUUUGACAAGUUCCCCUAUAAAUUUGUAAAAUUGCCCCUUCCCCAUUUCACCUCUGAUAAGUGCCCCUUAUCCUUCGACAAGUUCCCAUUAUUCUAUGCAAU